rnacentral:rRNA from 1 species
GACGAACGCUGGCGGCGUGCUUAACACAUGCAAGUCGAACGGAAAGGCCCUGCUUUUGUGGGGUGCUCGAGUGGCGAACGGGUGAGUAACACGUGAGUAACCUGCCCUUGACUUUGGGAUAACUUCAGGAAACUGGGGCUAAUACCGGAUAGGAGCUCCUGCUGCAUGGUGGGGGUUGGAAAGUUUCGGCGGUUGGGGAUGGACUCGCGGCUUAUCAGCUUGUUGGUGGGGUAGUGGCUUACCAAGGCUUUGACGGGUAGCCGGCCUGAGAGGGUGACCGGCCACAUUGGGACUGAGAUACGGCCCAGACUCCUACGGGAGGCAGCAGUGGGGAAUAUUACACAAUGGGCGGAAGCCUGAUGCAGCAACGCCGCGUGCGGGAUGACGGCCUUCGGGUUGUAAACCGCUUUCGCCUGUGACGAAGCGUGAUUGACGGUAAUGGGUAAAGAAGCACCGGCUAACUACGUG